CAUUUUCUUAUAAAAACACAUCAGCAGCUACAAAAAUCAUGUUUGAAAUAUGACUACAUGCAAUUUAUGCUGUAAAUUAUAUAACAGAUAGAUGCGGGCCUGGCUUCUGAAUUAAUGCAAUCAGAAUGAACGAUGAUGUAAAAUUCUUAGUAAAAUAUACACAAGUUUUCAGGGUCUGGGUUAAACUGGACUAAAUGACUGGAGAAGUCCUGCAUACGUCACCAGAUAGAAGUCUGUCGUUUUAAACAGAAGGUCCAGUUAUGACAUUUAGAUCAAGCAUUAAAAGGUCAAAAACUUUUUUAAAUAUAACAUAUGCAUGGAUGAAUCGUUCACAAUAAGAUCUGUAAUGUUUAUUGAGAAAAAACAUAGGCUGAAUUUUCAUUUCAUGCCAGCUUUAUUAUUUUUAAUAUGUAAUAAGUGUAAUUUUCAAGGGGUUGCAGAGCUUAAGUCCUUUAGCUUUGAGUCCCAUGACAAUAUUCACAUUAUAUCAAUAUCUCUCACCUUAUUAUUCAAACAAAAAUGUGACUGCUUCUGCAAGUGUUAUUACCCACAGACCUUGUUUAAUUAUAAAUUAAACUAUUCUAAACUAAUAAGAAAUUCCUUGAGAAUUGAGCUUGAGAAUUCAAAUUCACAUUUAUAGUGCACUUUAUAGAGCACCUACCCUAAUUUCUAAAGCAUCUUAUUGAUUUUUUCCUUCUUUUUGUCAGGAGCCUGCUUUGGUGGCUCCAAUGACCUAGUGCCUCAAAUGUUCAUGGAAGCGUAAAGUUGACUGACAAAGCUUUGGCAUUGGAUUUGUAAUAGGAUUGACGACACUCUUCCAUUCUUUCUUCAUGUGCGUCUUGUUGUUCUCCACACCAAACGAUACAUUUCACAGUUAUUCAAGAUAAACAACAAACUAUUUUACGUAAUGUGUAUAAUACAAAAUACGCUUCAUGGUUCUCAUCUUGCCCUUGGCGAAAAUAAAGCGUUUCCAGCUGGGGAAUGAGCGCACGAUGGACGCGGUGGGUGUGGAGAAGAUUUGACAGGGAAAAAAACGCAUCAUAAGCCUGUCAGAAGUGAAGCUCAACGUGAAGCGUAUUUGAUUUCGCGCGCGGGUUAAUUAUUUUCAGAUUUCCGAACUAUUAAAUGACCAAAAUCCAAUUGAAUACCAAUAUAUUUAACAUAUACUGCUAAAUUCAGGUCUGCACGGCCAUAUUGGAUCAUCCCACCCAGUUUCAUCAGUAUAUUACUAGAUGUGGUUCUCCCACACCCGAGCACGUAGUGCUUUAACGCGGGGAUGCGCUGCAAAACGCACCAGCGUGUUAUUGGGCCAUUACUACAAUUUAUAUAAACAUAUGAUAAAGGACGCAACCUUUAUAUAUUUUAUCAAGCCAUAUGUACUCUCUUCGAAGAGAUACGGCUGUUGGCGGGGACGUGUGGUCUGUUUUCCGGGGAGCGGCGCUCAACCCGACGGUGAAUGUGUUCUGGUGUCCCUUUGCAGCAGCAGAUCUCUCACAUGGCUUCAGGAUGGAGCGCGCGACUGUUGACUCCACAGCAGCCAAGCCUUUGUUUCCCGCGCGACAGUUAUUCCGCGAGCGUGUUAAGGGCAAUGUCUGGCAUCUCCUCCUCCUAGUGAGAAGAGAUGCUUGGAUACGCCUCCCUCCGGACACUUGAGGGGCUGUAUAAACGAUGUAAACACAGACUCGAAGGAUAGAUUGAUGGAGGUUUUACAACAAAAUUCUAGCUUUAAGUUAUUGUAUUGGGGAUGUUUACAUGUUACCUCACAUACUACUACUAAUAAACUGUUCAUAAACCUGUUCUCCUUAUUUUAACUCCUUAUACCUAAAUUAUUAUUUUACACUUUUUAUUUAUGCUAACAUUGUUGGAAAUUUAGGUUAGAAAUUCUCUGUAUUUCCUAAUAUAUUAUUAGCUAUACUAAAAUAAGGAAUAAAGUGAAAAUAUACCAUGCCAUAUCAGCAUUUUACAAUUAGGUCAUUCGUUAACAUUAAUUAACUAUAGUUAACAUGAACUAACAACGAAAAAUACUACUAAUACAAUAACAGUUCCAUCUUUAUUAACUACCAUUAACAAAGAUACUGUAACUAAUGUAUUGCUCAUUGUUAGUUAAUGUAAACUAAUGGGAUCUUAUUGUAAAGUGCUACAUUCACAGUUUAAAGUGGUUAUGAGGAAAUAAAUGACAACAUGAAAAGUUAGAUACUGUUAGUCACGAACACCAGAAGAAAUAAGAAGAAGAAUAAAAGUUUAGCUAACCUUGUACUGGUCCUGCUGUGAGUAGCUUCUGUUAGUCUCUACAUAGUUAUCCUUCUGAAGAAGCCCAAUAUUAGGAGGAACAACCAGAUAAAGAUUCUAGCUCAUCUCAGGACCAUCGUUAACAGUUUUAGCACACAUUAUUUUAAAUCCAAAAACAACCUCGCAGUAUGCUGGUGAAAGUCCAGCACAACACUUUUUUUUUUUUUCCACAUGUGAAGAGAGUUUUUACAUAGGACUUUUAAACAAGAGGUCAAAGUUUGGCUGGUUAACAUGUUCCCUUUAGCCCCUGCUGGUAUUUGCCGGAACUACAUGGGAGCAAAAAGCAGUUUUCUCCAUUGACACUCAUUCAAAAAUUGUAUUCUAAAUAGCCUACAUACAUUUUUGAUGUGCUAGCCCAGGGGUGUCAAACAUACAGCCCGCGGGCCAAAUACGCCCCACAAAGGUGUCCAAUCCGGCCCGUGGGAUGAUUUGAACUAUAAUUUUUAAAAAAAUAGAGACGCACUAGUCCACUGGUCAUAAAUCCAAACGUUUUUUAGUUUUAUUUAUGGUUAUUUUUUUUCCAACCCGGCCCUCAACCUAAAAUAAGUUUGACACUCUUGAAAACAACUGCCACUGAGAUGAACUGAAAUGCUAAGAUUUCUCCAGGUAUUAUAGACCUCCUUAAAGGAACACUCCACUUUUUUUGAAAAUAGGCUCAUUUUCCAGCUCCCCUAGAGUUAAACAGUUGAGUUUUACUGUUUUCGAAUCCAUUCAGCCGAUCUCCAGGUCUGGCGGUACCACUUUUAACAUAGCUUAGCAUAGUUCAUUGAACCUGAUUAGACCGUUAGCAUCUCGCUCAAAAAUGACCAAAGAGUUUCGAUAUUUUUCCUAUUUAAAACUUGACUCUCCUGUAGUUACAUCGUGUACUAAGGCCGACGGAAAAUGAAAAUUUGCGAUUUUCUAGGCCGAUAUGGCUAGGAACUAUACUCUUAUUCAGGCGUAAUAAUGAUAACAAUGAUAGGGGAGUUGGAACUAUGCUAAGCUAUACUAAAAGUGGUACCGCUAGACCCGGAGAUCGGCUGAAUGGAUUCGAAAAAGGUAAAACUCAACUGUUUAACUCUAGGGGAGUUGGAAAAUGAGCCUAUUUUCAAAAAAAGUGGAGUGUUCCUUUAAAGGUGCAGUAAGCAAUUUCUGAGAAUCAUUGUUGAUAUUUUGAAAUCAACCCAAACAACAAAACUCUAGGCUAUUUUCUGCAAGCUUUUUUCAAUGUAAAUUAAAUAUAAUUUUUACUUUUCCUAAUUCACAAAGUAUAAACUGCAAAAGCAAAAACUGUGAGUAGAAAAUUAAUUUUACAUAUUACAGCUUUUUAUAAUUACAAGUCAAUGUGCGAUACCAAAGAGGACCACAUGGACAUGCCAAAAGACCACUAUACCAGCCGCCUUGACCUGACUACAUAUAGGUUAAGCUACUUAUACGGAUCCGUUCAGAAUUACAAACACAGCAAAAUGCAGUGAUAUGAAGGUGAAUAGACAGCAUCAGUGAACAGUCAGAGUGAGUGUUUGUGUUUUUGCUUGGAGUGUCUGAUGCCUAUAGCUACAUAAACGCCACUGACCCUCGCAAACUCCUCCAAAACACGUGCUUCUUCCGCGAGCAUCCAUUAUAAAAGUCUCGACCAUUUUGAAAUGUGCUGCUUGGGUCUUACCUUGAUUGUAAUCAAACAAUCGUCAUCCAUCAAAACAUUACUAGUGAGACACUGGUUGCACACACCCCGCCAUAAUCACUUCAGCAGUGUCUACGAGGGCACGAUAAAAUUAUCAAUAAUAAUCGCCCGUUUCGGAUUAUAUUCGAGCGCGAUGAUUGGCUACAUUUAAUGCCAUAUAUCUUGAAUAUGUGUGGGCGUUUCUCUAUCUGUCGCCCUAGAGCUGAACUUGACACAUGUGGACAGGCUACAUAUAGAAAUGUGCGCGUGUUUUGAUGGUUCAGGCCGGGAGCCCCAGCGUCCUCUAUCGGCUGAAUCAAGUCUCGCACAUUCAAAGGAAAUAGAUAACCUCCCAUUCGGAGUAGAUAGAUAAAUUUUAAAGAACCAUUUUCGCAUUCAGAGUAACAUUAGAUAGAUAAAUGUAUUGUUGCUGGAGUGUUGUUGGAAUUGUUGUAGUAUUUUUUUCAUCAAAACACAUUGUUUUUGACGUUUGGUUUGAGUCACCAACCAAUUUUGUGUAUCUGCUCUUUACAAAUUCUAUUACUCAUUAUGCCUGUUAAGUGUGUGUGUUUACGUCACACAAUCGCUGAAGAAUAUUCAAAUGUUGUAUAGUUCAAUAUUUGAAUAUUGUAUAUUUAAAUACAGAAUAGUGUUUAUUGUGUUUUCUGAUUUCUUAUUGAUAAUAAAUUCAAGUAAAACAGCCUUAUCUCACUACCUCUCUUCAUAUCCAUCAAAAUAAUCUUGAAUCAUAGAUAUUGUUAUGUCCUAUCAAUGGCUUAAUCUCCUGUAGAGGGCGUAAAGGCUCCAUUCAUGAAACCCAUAUUUUCUCAACUGGAAGAGUGCAUCAAUUCACAUAGUCUAUACUUUUGAAUCAUUGCAUUUGAAUCAUUUACUCAUUCCUGAGUAAAUACAUUUUGUAAUUUGUAGUGAGAUUAAUAUAAAAACAUACUCAACUGGGAGUUCACAGUGGUGAAAUUAUAUGCAAUAACAAUAGCAUUAGCAUAAAUGUAAUACAUCUUUUAUGGCAAAGGUUCUGUAGAGCAAUUUCUUCGACUUGCAUCAGGGAGAUCCCAAUGCGUUGCAUCCUCUAAAAACAACAUGAAUUACCUUUGAAGAUAGAGUUGCAUUUUCUUUAGUCUGCACAUGUAGACCAAACCAGUUUUGUGAAUGCACACUGUUCAUUGGGCAUUGCUGAUGAAAUGGUAUUAAUUAGCAUUGGAAGAUAUAACUAAACGUGAAUGAACAGCACCUUAAAUGUGUCCUUCUGGGAGACUAUGACUCAUAAAGUCUUAGUGUAGCCAUUAGAACCCACAUUUGACUGGUUCUGCAUACAUAUUUGUGUUUAUGAGCCAGCAUAAAUGCGAGGAAAUUAAGAUGUUAGUUAUCCCUCUCAUAACUUAAAUAUAAACCAGUCUGUUUCUGACAUUUGAAGGUCAACGCUCAAGCUCCACUGUACAAGGCCAAUUCGUUUAGUCUCCUUUCUAAGAAGGGAGGGGUAGAGGUAGAAGAAAAAGGAACUGAAGACUCAAUCUCAAGCCUGUUAGUACUGCAGCAGCAGGGGUUUGCCAUAGGGCUAUCACAAGUAAAGAUCAAACAAGCGCCGUUUCGCUCUCAUACUCAGAGUACUUAUUUUGGAAUAAAUUGAGUUAAAUCUAAGGCUCAAGGUUUUUUUUUAAGAUGUGAGAGAUUUGUUUUCUGCUGAAGGAUAUGUUCAGGGGUAUUGAAUGGUGGUUUUUGUUGAUAAUUGAUGUAUUACUGUUAUGGGAAUUGUGAAGCUGCUGUUUUGUAAUGCAUAAAAACAGAAAGGCCUGCACAAAGAGUUGAAUGUAAUUAAAGAAGUUUUGGUAUCAUGUAGUCUGGAGGCUUUCACUUUUCUUUUCUGUAACUUAGACUGGACUAUAGAGGAUACUUGAAAUGUGACAUCCUUUGCUACUGUCCUUGUAUUCUUUGUGAAAAUGAGUGGUGUGUCAUGCAGAGCACAAACUGUUGGCCUAUGUAGGAUUUAUUUUUUUUUUUUCACCAGCUUCCUGCUAUUUUCGUUCAGAGCAUCUGUGCCACACAAACCACCUGGGUUUUGAGCUCGGAGAGGGUAGGAAUCAUUCAGUGGAGACUCAACAGCAGAUUUUAGGACAGUAAAAUCAAAGAACAUGCAACAGUACAAGAAUCUCCACUGCAAAAAAAAAAAAAAGACAAAAAGUGUUCUCGUUGCUUCAUAACAUUAACGUUGAACCACUGUAGUCACAUGAACUGUUUCAAAUACAUCUUUAGUAGCUUUCUGGGCAUCGAAAGUGUUAAUUGUUUUGCUAGCAAUGCAGGCCUCACUGAGCCAUCGGAUUUUAUGAAUAAUAUCUUAAUUUGUGUUCCGAAGAUGAACGAAGGUCUUACGGGUGUGGAAUGACAUGAGGGUGAGUAAUUAAUGACAUAAUUUUCAUUUUUGGGUGAACUAACCCUUUAAAUUUAGUUUAAUUUAGAUUUUACUGCAUGAAGCACAUUUUUAGGUAAUUUUUCUUUGCUAUUUUUUAAUUCUUGCUACAAAAAGAGGUGUAAGAGGAUUUCAUGUAAUUGCCUAUUUUAGGAUUAUGUGUGAAUAAUCUUAUAUUUAAUACUCCAAUACAUAGAUAAAAUUGUGGUAAGAUAAGCCAGUUUUUACUGUGAAGCAUGAGAAAGUAAAAGCUGGAGAAAAAUCAAUACACCUUAUAUUUUGUGAUUUUUUUUUUUUUUUUUUUUCAUUUCUAUGGAGGCCCCCACAUGAAAUGUGGAAGAAAAAUAGAUAAAGUGGCCAUGUUUUUUUUGUUGUUGUUGUUUGUUUUGUUAUUUGUUUUUUUUUUAUGUGAGCAAAUGUAUUUUGACAAGCAAACCUUUUUUUCAGCAUAAAAGUCAACUAUAUGACUCACUUAAUGACAUUUUGAAUAAACAAAAAAACAUGCAUCAUUUCUUAGAUGAAACCCACUGGCUCAAGAUGAGUCUGUAGAUGAGUCAGUAGUGGCCACAUAUCUCACUCUUUACAAACUGAUUGAUUGAAAUGAAAUAAGCACUACAGAUGAAACAAUCAAGGCAGUCUGAGCAGCAUCAGUAAUGGAAGUGAUAUUUAGGCCAUUAACGAACUAUUCGUGCUGACUCUUUCUAUCUUCCUGUGAAUGCACAACAUGAACACAUAAACAAGCAAACAUACAGUCUUCCCAAUUAUCUGCUGUAAGAACAGUGUAACUGUGUCAGAGUGUCAGCCUGCAGGUCAUGCUCAUAGCGACGUAACCAUUUAGAAUCUUCAUGCAUCUGCAAGCAAAUUCAAAUCAUUUCACUCAUGCUCAAAUCACCCUUCAGAUCAACCUACACUGCACAUUAUGAUUGAGAUGCAAGUAGGCACACACUUGUAAAUGAGAGUAGGCCAAGUCAAGUUGCAUUUUCCAAAUUAUGGUAAUUUCAGUUUUUGUGUUGUAUACUUGUCACUUCUAAAUACAUUUUUAUUCAUUUGUUCUGAAGAGCAAGUGCAAGUGAAAGCAGUGUGAGGUUUCUCAUCACCUUCUCAUAUGAAGUAUGCACACAAUGCACUCUUGAUAAAUAGGAAAUUGAUAUGGUAAAUAUACUAGUAGUGAACGUGAGGAUGCAUUUGAGAAGCUAAAACUAUACCCUUCUCAAAAGGUUUCUCAUAUUUACUAGUAUAGUAAACAUCGAAGCAUUUUUGGGUGAACUAACCCUUUAAUGGUUAACCCACAUCCUGCAAGAACUUCUUCCAGGUUACAGAGAUGCUUCUUCAAGGAAUACUGUGUCUCUGAGGUAUUUUGUGGCACAAAAUAUGGCCGUUUAAUAACCACCACAACCAUCAAAAAGUAGUCAUAUUUAAAAGUGCAGUAGGUGGUCUUGGAAAUGCUGACGUUAGCUUGCUAGCAUUGAUUAAAAUCAUACGAUCCCACCCUCCCUGCAAAUCGCCGUCAAAAGCCAUGCCUCCUCCAAAACACAUGAAGGCACACACACACAGCUGCUCUCGGCAAAACAUCACAAAAGACGGUGUUAAACUAGCUCAAACCACAUUACAUUACAAUAAUAAUGAACGUAAACAACUUAGAGAGCUUGUACCUGACUGCUGCAGAUUAAUUUCGUUGUUGAUACUGUUGACAAGGAUACGCAUAAUUCCGAGUCUGACUGAACAGCUCCGUUUAGAAUGUCACGGGUUGCCAUCUCUUAAUUACGGUAGUUAUGACGUGAAUGCAGCAUAAGCUCGUUGUUUUGAUUCACCAGGAACUGUAAAAGGUGGUUGCUGUUUGUUUGCGGUGCUCUGUGACUGAUGUCUGUCUACAUAAACUCUGCAUAGCAUGAAACGUACUGAUGACGUAUGAUGUCUGCGCGAAUAGGGUGAGCAAGGGUAUGUAAAAACAUAUGUUGACAGCAGUGUUGAGUGUAACGCGUUACUAAGUAAUGCGUUACUGUAAUUAAAUUACUUAUCCACUGAAAAAGUAAAGUAAGAGAUUACUGUUCAUUUUUAGGUAAUUUAAUUACAGUUAUUUAUAAUGUACUUGCGUUACAUACUGUAAAUUAGUUCAACAGUUCUGUUUAAAUCAAUAUUGAAUUAAAAUCUAAAUUUGUCAUCUAAAGGUAAAAGUGAACACUGCUUCUUUAAAAUCGUUAGCUGUUAGUGCAGUUGCGCGUGACCAGUCGGCUGCGUAGUCGCUGUCUGAAGAUGUCGGCAGAAGCGAAUGGCUGUUUUGCAGAAUGGAAAUAUUCGAAUUACUUCACUUUUUUUGACACAGGUAGGCAAAAACAUUAACGUAAAAUGUAAGCUAUGUCCUAGGGAGAAAAAACUGCGCGCGCUCUCUGAGAGACGGUCUUCAGUCAGUGCGCUCUCGAUCAAAGCGCACACACAUAGCCGCCUCUCGCGAGUGUCAAAUUUUUGCGGUUUAUUACACAUAAACGUUCAAAUACACACACAGUUAUGUCAAAAUGCCCGUCCUGGCGUAUAUUCGCGUUGGUUAUGUGAAUGUGAACAGUAUGUGUGGCAGCAUAUUGUCUCCGUCCAUUAGGUCUAGUGACAGCAGCCUUUAAAACAUGCUACUGUCUACCAUUGGCUGUCUGUAUUAUAAAUGAUAAUCAAACAAGAAAAGAAAAGCUCUAAUAAGGAUUAAUCUAUAUUCAAUUUAUACAGUUAUGACUAUGCAGAGAUAUUUUAUAUUUGAUUAUUCAAUUUCUGUGGUAUUUUUACUUACUACUAUUAGACCUACCUGGAAAAAAAAAUAUAGCAUUGUUUUAUUUGUAUUUUUAUAUAUUUUUACCGUGGUAUCGAGUAUUGUGCACUUUUGGUGGUAUCGGUACCGACUACUAGAUUUUUGGUAUAGUGACAUCCCUAUUUGUUACUAAAAAAAUUUAAGUAUUAUAAAGUAAAUAAAAGUAUUAUAGUAUAUGUUUUAAUAAAGUUAAAAUGUUUUAAAAACUAUAAAAGGCUAAACUAUUCCAUGUUUGACUAAAUAAUUUCCUUUCUAUUGUCUAUCCGGUCAAGGUUUAUAGGGAUUUUAAGAAGUAAUUAGUAAGUUACUUAUUGAUUAAUUAAAUUACUUUUCAGACAGAGUAAUUAGAAAAGUAUUUUAAAUACAACAUUGAUGAUGUAAUUAGUAAUUAGUAAUUAAUUACUUUUUUGAAGUAACUUACCCAACACUGGUUGACAGGCAGGUAGGGCGUUGUAUCAUUUCAUUCCAACCAAAUAUAAUGAUUGGAUUUACAUUUUAUGGUCUUACGCCUUUCACAGAUGAUAUUUAUAAAAAUAAAUUUAGACCGUUUAACAUAGUGAUUGCUAUCAGGAUAUGAGGAGACUUUCAACCGGUAAAACAAAAAAUGUGUCUGUAAAGAAUAACCUAUUGCACCUUUAACUUAAUUGUGACAUUAGCUGUUGAAUGCACUUCUUCACCAUCAUGCACAUAUACUGUUCGUAUUAGAGUACCAACAAUUCAAAGCCACAUAGAGAAUUUGUAGGUUCCAUCUGACAAUAAUUGUAACAUGAAUAAUUCAAUCUCAUUGAUUUGCUGCUUGGUCUGAAUUGCUUAAUUCUACAAUAACAUUGAUCUCUAGUCCAGAACCCACAAACAUUGUGUCUUGCUGGACAGUUGCAGUCUUGAUUGAUAGAACAAGUGUGGUCUUGACAUGCUUAGGAUACUAUAUGUCUCCUCAAUCACAUGAUAACACAGCAGCCUUGAUGUCAUCUUACAAUUCAUCAGACUGCUAGUCUACAUUUAAAAAAAAUCCCCAUUGCUGUCAAAAGCUUAUUCCCUGUACUUUUCUUCUUGUAAUGUUGAAUCACCACAAGGAGGUCAAGUCUGUGUUGUUGGUACAGUCAUGCCAGCCUGGGCUGCAGCUCUUUUUAUGACCCACUAAGGGAACAUUCACUCUUCUUGUAGAGCUGCAAUAUUGAGUCACAGUCUAACUUGGCCCAGGGCACUGAAUGUUUAAUGCACUAUUGUGAAAUGAGUAUAUGAUUUGAUCACUGUCUUUAAAACAAGCAUGUCACGCAACUCACUCCAUAUUCUCUCCAACUGUUUUAAUAAAGUCAGUCCUUUCUCUAGAUAGAGGCCUCUCUGAAUAUAUUUGUGUCUUCCAAGGCUCUAAUUUAUUAUUUGUUAAAGAAUACAGUCAUGUUUAUUAUGUAGUCAUCUCUCUGGUGAAUUCAUUAAAGAUAGCUGAUAUUGACCCAUUAUAAAUAUGAAGAUACUCUCUCACAACCUAAAGCACAUGAUUUAUCACGUCUCUAUUAGAAAAGCGAUGCAUAUCACUGCAAAUUGCUUGUUACAUAUUUAAAACAAAGUACUUUACUUUUAUGUUGCCUUAUAUUAAAAUUAGUAUUAUAUUAAAAGUCUCCUUGAAUAUAUCUCCUUCGUUGUGCGCUUUAGUACACUCACCACAUGUGACGCCCACAAAUAAUACCAGUAAUUGUUGACCUUGAGGGGGCGAUGGUUUUUUUGGUCCCCAUGAUGAAAACAAGUUAUAAAUCAUACUAAAUGAAUUUUUUUUUUUUUUUUGUAAAUGUAAAAAAUGCUAAAAGUUUUCUGUGAGGGCUGUGUUUAGGGAGAGGGUUAGAAGAUUUGUACAGUAUAAAAAUCAUGUCUAUGAAAAGUUCCCAUAAAAUGUGUUUAUAUUAAUUCUCAGAACUAAUUUUUGAAGAAAUAUUGGCUGAUAUUUUUAAUGUACUAACACACAUGAAUUACUGUAUGUUUCCCUAAAAAAUAAAUGAUUGAAAAUUG